UACAGAGGCCCCAAGCAUUAUCCGGAUUUACUGGGCGUAAAGGGUGCGUAGGCGGUUAUAUUAGUCGGGUGUUAAAUCCCGGGGCUCAACCCCGGAAUCGCAUCCGAAACGGUAUAACUAGAAUAAGUCAGAGGCAAGCAGAACUCACGGUGUAGGGGUGAAAUCCGUUGAUAUCGUGGGGAAUACCAAAUGCGAAGGCAGCUUGCUGGGACUUUAUUGACGCUGAGGCACGAAAGCGUGGGUAGCGAAUCGG
rnacentral:rRNA from 1 species